UGGGGAAUCUUGGACAAUGGGGGCAACCCUGAUCCAGCCAUGCCGCGUGAGUGAUGAAGGCCUUAGGGUCGUAAAGCUCUUUCGCCUGUGAAGAUAAUGACGGUAGCAGGUAAAGAAACCCCGGCUAACUCCGUGCCAGCAGCCGCGGUAAUACGGAGGGGGUUAGCGUUGUUCGGGAAUUACUGGGCGUAAAGCGCACGUAGGCGGACCAGAAAGUUGGGGGUGAAAUCCCGGGGGCUCAACCCCGGAACUGCCUCCAAAACUAUUGGUCUAGAGUUCGAGAGAGGUGAGUGGAAUUCCAAGUGUAGAGGUGAAAUUCGUAGAUAUUUGGAGGAACACCAGUGGCGAAGGCGGCUCACUGGCUCGAUACUGACGCUGAGGUGCGAAAGUGUGGGGAGCAAACAGGAUUAG
rnacentral:rRNA from 1 species